rnacentral:rRNA from 1 species
AGUGAACGCUGGCGGUAGGCCUAACACAUGCAAGUCGAACGGCAGCACAGUAAGAGCUUGCUCUUACGGGUGGCGAGUGGCGGACGGGUGAGGAAUACAUCGGAAUCUACUUUUUCGUGGGGGAUAACGUAGGGAAACUUACGCUAAUACCGCAUACGACCUACGGGUGAAAGCAGGGGAUCUUCGGACCUUGCGCGAUUGAAUGAGCCGAUGUCGGAUUAGCUAGUUGGCGGGGUAAAGGCCCACCAAGGCGACGAUCCGUAGCUGGUCUGAGAGGAUGAUCAGCCACACUGGAACUGAGACACGGUCCAGACUCCUACGGGAGGCAGCAGUGGGGAAUAUUGGACAAUGGGGGCAAGCCUGAUCCGGCCAUACCGCGUGGGUGAAGAAGGCCUUCGGGUUGUAAAGCCCUUUUGUUGGGAAAGAAAAGCAGCAGGUUAAUACCCCGCUGUUCUGACGGUACCCAAAGAAUAAGCACCGGCUAACUUCGUG